rnacentral:rRNA from 1 species
CCUACGGGAGGCAGCAGUGAGGAAUAUUGGUCAAUGGAUGAGAGUCUGAACCAGCCAAGUAGCGUGAAGGAUGACUGCCCUAUGGGUUGUAAACUUCUUUUAUAAAGGAAUAAAACGAGGCACGUGUGCCUUUUUGCAUGUACUUUAUGAAUAAGGAUCGGCUAACUCCGUGCCAGCAGCCGCGGUAAUACGGAGGAUCCGAGCGUUAUCCGGAUUUAUUGGGUUUAAAGGGAGCGUAGAUGGGUUGUUAAGUCAGUUGUGAAAGUUUGCGGCUCAACCGUAAAAUUGCAAUUGAUACUGGCAGUCGUGAGUACAGUUGAGGUAGGCGGAAUUCGUGGUGUAGCGGUGAAAUGCUUAGAUAUCACGAAGAACCCCGAUUGCGAAGGCAGCUUACUAAACUGUGACUGACAUUGAUGCUCGAAAGUGUGGGUAUCAAACAGGAUUAGAUACCCGGGUAGUC